rnacentral:rRNA from 1 species
CUUAAGCAUAUCAAUAAGCGGAGGAAAAGAAACCAACCGGGAUUGCCUCAGUAACGGCGAGUGAAGCGGCAAGAGCUCAAAUUUGAAAGCUGGCUCCUUCGGGGUCCGCAUUGUAAUUUGCAGAGGAUGCUUCGGGUGCGGCCCCUGUCUAAGUGCCCUGGAACGGGCCGUCAGAGAGGGUGAGAAUCCCGUCUGGGAUGGGGUGUCCGCGCCCGUGUGAAGCUCCUUCGACGAGUCGAGUUGUUUGGGAAUGCAGCUCUAAAUGGGUGGUAAAUUUCAUCUAAAGCUAAAUACUGGCCGGAGACCGAUAGCGCACAAGUAGAGUGAUCGAAAGAUGAAAAGCACUUUGAAAAGAGAGUUAAAAAGCACGUGAAAUUGUUGAAAGGGAAGCGCUUGCGACCAGACUCGCCUCCAGGGUUCAGCCGGCAUUCGUGCCGGUGUACUUCCCUGGGGGCGGGCCAGCGUCGGUUUGGGCGGCCGGUCAAAGGCUCCCGGAAUGUAGUGCCCUCCGGGGCACCUUAUAGCCGGGAGUGCAAUGCGGCCAGCCUGGACCGAGGAACGCGCUUCGGCACGGACGCUGGCAUAAUGGUCGUAAACGACCCGUCUUGAAACACGGACCAAGGAGUCUAACAUCUACGCGAGUGUUCGGGUGUCAAACCCGUACGCGCAGUGAAAGCGAACGGAGGUGGGAGCCCCCUCGUGGGGCGCACCAUCGACCGAUCCUGAUGUCUUCGGAUGGAUUUGAGUAAGAGCGUAAAUGUGGGGACCCGAAAGAUGGUGAACUAUGCCUGAAUAGGGCGAAGCCAGAGGAAACUCUGGUGGAGGCUCGCAGCGGUUCUGACGUGCAAAUCGAUCGUCAAAUUUGGGUAUAGGGGGCGAAAGACUAAUCGAACCAUCUAGUAGCUGGGUUCCUGCC